rnacentral:rRNA from 1 species
UACGAAGGGAGCUAGCGUUGUUCGGAAUCACUGGGCGUAAAGCGCACGUAGGUGGACUUUCAAGUCAGGGGUGAAAUCCCGGGGCUCAACCUCGGAACUGCCUUUGAUACUGUUGGUCUUGAGUCCGGAAGAGGUGAGUGGAAUUCCUAGUGUAGAGGUGAAAUUCGUAGAUAUUAGGAAGAACACCGGUGGCGAAGGCGGCUCACUGGUCCGGUACUGACACUGAGGUGCGAAAGCGUGGGGAGCAAACAGG